rnacentral:rRNA from 1 species
UACGUAGGUGGCAAGCGUUGUCCGGAAUUAUUGGGCGUAAAGCGCGCGCAGGCGGUCCCUUAAGUCUGAUGUGAAAGCCCACGGCUCAGCCGUGGAGGGUCAUUGGAAACUGGGGGACUUGAGUGCAGAAGAGGAAAGUGGAAUUCCAUGUGUAGCGGUGAAAUGCGUAGAGAUGUGGAGGAACACCAGUGGCGAAGGCGACUUUCUGGUCUGUAACUGACGCUGAGGCGCGAAAGCGUGGGGAGCAAACAGG